UUUGCUUGCAAGUGAAGAUGGCGACCGGCGCACGGGUGAGUAACACGUAUCCCAUUUGACGAUAACUCGGGGAUAGCCUUUCGAAAGAAAGAUUAUUAUCCGAUAGCAUAUCAAUCCCGCAUGAGAUUGAUAUUAAAGAAUUUCGGUUAUCGAUGGGGAUGCGUUCCAUUAGGCAGUUGGUGGGGUAACGGCCCACCAAACCUUCGAUGGAUAGGGGUUCUGAGAGGAAGGUCCCCCACAUUGGAACUGAGACACGGUCCAAACUCCUACGGGAGGCAGCAGUGAGGAAUAUUGGUCAAUGGACGAGAGUCUGAACCAGCCAAGUAGCGUGAAGGAUGACUGCCCUAUGGGUUGUAAACUUCUUUUAUAUGGGAAUAAAGUGGUCCACGUGUGGAUUUUUGUAUGUACCAUAUGAAUAAGGAUCGGCUAACUCCGUGCCAGCAGCCGCGGUAAUACGGAGGAUCCGAGCGUUAUCCGGAUUUAUUGGGUUUAAAGGGAGCGUAGGUGGACAGUUAAGUCAGUUGUAAAAGUUUGCGGCUCAACCGUAAAAUUGCAGUUGAUACUGGCUGUCUUGAGUACAGUAGAGGUGGGCGGAAUUCGUGGUGUAGCGGUGAAAUGCUUAGAUAUCACGAAGAACUCCGAUUG
rnacentral:rRNA from 1 species